CUGCAUUCUACAGUGCUUGUGUCUCCAGUGGGAGUAGGCAGCUGGAGAUGCAGCCCUGUUGGGAUCCC
rnacentral:pre_miRNA from 1 species